rnacentral:tRNA from 1 species
GGGGCUGUGGCUCAGUGGUAGAGCACUCACCUAGCAUGUGCGAGGCCCUGGGUUCAAUCCUCAGCACCACA